CAGUCGUACCGGCGGAUAAUCAGCCUUUCGGGUGCGAUUCUGUGGAGUGUGUGGAGCUAAACACCUUCAUGCCUGCAUAUUCGUGCUCUUGGGUGUACUUGCUCGUGUGGUUGGUUAACAUCGAUUUUGGGUGCCGGAAAAUGGCGGGAGGAAUGUGGCAGCUUGUCUGUGUUAUAGCCUCUUGUCGUACACGGUGCUUGGGAUCGAGGUCUGCAGCACGCCUUUGGUCGGGUUCGCCCACGCCACGUGCUUAGGAUGCCGGCA
rnacentral:rRNA from 1 species